CUUUACUAUAACUUUACAUUGAUGUUGGGAAUUGAAUGUGUAGAAUAGGUGGUAGACUUUGAAGCCAUGGCGCUAGUUAUGGCAGAGUCGAAAUGUGAAAUACCACUCUUUUAAUUUCUAAUGUCUAACCAAGUUUCAUAAAGUGGAACUGAGACAGUGUAUGGUGGUUAGUUUGACUGGGGCGGUCGCCUCCUAAAGAGUAACGGAGGCGUUCGAAGGUAGGCUCAGCUGGGUUAGAAAUCCAGCUUUUGAGUGCAAUGGCAUAAGCCUGCUUGACUGUAAGACUGACAAGUCGAACAGAGACGAAAGUCGGACAUAGUGAUCUGGUGGUUUCUGCGAGGAAAGGCCAUCACUCAACGGAUAAAAGGUA
rnacentral:rRNA from 1 species